CCUCUAUGAUGGGGAUAACAGUUGGAAACGACUGCUAAUACCGAAUACGCUCAUAAUGAACUUUAUGAGGAAAGGUGGCCUCUGCUUGCAAGCUAUCGCAUAGAGAUGAGUCCGCGUCCCAUUGGCUAGUUGGUGGGGUAACGGCCUACCAAGGCAACGAUGGGUAGCCGAUCUGAGAGGAUGAUCGGCCACACUGGAACUGAAACACGGUCCAG
rnacentral:rRNA from 1 species